rnacentral:tRNA from 1 species
CCACCGGAAGCCGAAAAGUGAGGCGCUGUGCUGAUAACGCAGAGGUAGAAGGGGCAGUACCUUCCCGGUGGA